UACGUAGGGGGCAAGCGUUGUCCGGAUUUAUUGGGCGUAAAGAGCUCGUAGGUGGUUCGGUAAGUCGGAUGUGAAAUCUCCAGGCUCAACCUGGAGGGGUCAUUCGAUACUGCCGUGACUAGAGUUCGGUAGGGGAGUGUGGAAUUCCUGGUGGAGCGGUGAAAUGCGCAGAUAUCAGGAAGAACACCCGUGGCGAAGGCGGCUCUCUGGGACGGUACUGACGCUGAGACGCGAAAGCGUGGGGAGCGAACAGG
rnacentral:rRNA from 1 species